rnacentral:rRNA from 1 species
CCUACGGGGAGCAGCAGUGGGGAAUAUUGCGCAAUGGGCGAAAGCCUGACGCAGCGACGCAGCGUGAGGGAUGAAGGUCUUCGGAUCGUAAACCUCUGUCAGCAGGGAAGAACGGUCACUGUGCUAAUCAGCAGUGAAUUGACGGUACCUGCAAAGGAAGCACCGGCUAACUCCGUGCCAGCAGCCGCGGUAAUACGGAGGGUGCGAGCGUUAAUCGGAAUUACUGGGCGUAAAGCGCUCGUAGGCGGUAUGUCAAGUCAAGGGUGAAAUCCCCGCGCUCAACGUGGGAACUGCCUUUGAAACUGGCAAACUGGAGUGUGUGAGAGGAGAGUGGAAUUCCAGGUGUAGGAGUGAAAUGCGUAGAUAUCUGGAGGAACAUCAGUGGCGAAGGCGACUAUCUGGCACAUAACUGACGCUGAGGAGCGAAAGCGUGGGUAGCAAACAGGAUUAGAUACCCGGGUAGUC